rnacentral:lncRNA from 1 species
AGUCUAGAAGCAGAUUCUGGCCAGGAUCCACAUUUCAAACUAUGCCUGGAGAGACUAACACCUUCCUCAGAGCCUGUGUGCAGGGCUGGAGGGUCUGAUGAUUUUAUGGGCUGUCUUGACAGAGAUUAUUGGAGACUCCUUUGGUCUGCUGAUUUAUAACACUCCUAAACCCCUGAGUCUGAUGCCUGAGAGGAGUGAUGGUCUGGUAGGAUUUGGAGGGGGGCACAUGCAUGAAGACAAACGGCCAUUUAAUCGGGAAUAAGAGAUGAAGAGGUGAGAGGAGGUUUGUCUGGGGCAAUGAUCUGGUUGAUGGUUCUUUUCUUCUAGAGGGAAAAUUUGGAACUAUUAGGCAAUGCCUCUGGUACUCUAUUGUUCUAUCAAACCUCAUCCUGGCCCUGUGGCUUGGGCUCCAAACUUCCUCCCCUUGUCGUAUAGAGCAGGCAAGUUGCACAAUAUGUAUAUCAAACUCUGUCACUCAGGCCACACUUCUUUUUGGUCCCCAAUGAGUAGAAGAAAUAACUCACUAUAGAAAUUGUUAUGCUGGGGGUGUCAUGUAGUGAUGACGACACUGAUGAUGAUGAUGAUGAUGAUGAUGGCAAAGGAAAUGAACAAAGCAAAGGAGGAAGUUGGCAAAGCCAGGAUGGUGAUGGGCACUCUAGCAUUUGGGGAACUCUUCGGCUCUUGACACACUCAGCACUUUUAAGCUGUAAAGUUCCCUCUGUUCUGGCAUCUCAUGCCUCCAAGAUGGAGGCAGGCAUGUCUUCAAAGCUGAAAGUGCCUUGGUACCUGUUGUACUUACUUUUCUAUUGCUGUGAUAAAUAUGAAUACUGUACAGCUCAGACUGGCUUCAAAUACAUGACAACUCUACCGCAUUUGUCUCCCAAGGACUGAGAUUACAGGCAUGAGCUCCCAGGCCUGGUUGCUGUGUGUGUUCUACAUCUUCUUUACUUCUCCUCUUGCUCAGAACAUAGCUAAGCAAUGGCUGUCCUCACUACUUUCUCCAGACCUUGUCUUAUUCCUUGAGUUGAUGACUUAGCACAGGUUUGGGGGAUCUGUUCUUUCCCUCUCGUCUUUUCUGUCCUGGUUAGUUUUAUGUCAACUUGACACAAGCUAGAAUCAUCAGAGAGAAGGGAGCCUUAACUGAAAAAAUAAUUCCAAAAGAUCUGUCUGUAGGCAAGCCUGUAGGAAAUUUUAUUAAUUGGUAUUUAUUUGGGGAGGAGUCAGCUUGUUGUGGGUGGUGCCAUCCCUGGGCUGGUGGACCUGGGUUCUAUAAGAAAGCAGGUUGAGCAAGCCAUGAGGAGCAAGCCAGUAAGCAGCACUCCUCCAUGAUUGCUGCAUCAGCUCCUGGUUCCAGGUCCCUGCCUUGCUUGAGUUCCUAUCCUGAAUUCCUUUGAUGACAAACUGUGAUGUGGAAGUAUACUCAAUGCUGGUGAGCUGGAGCUGAGAAAUUAGCAGUGACUAAGAAAAGUCCAGCAUUACUGAGGUGAAAUCUUCUGGGAAGUGUUUUCUGAGAGCACACAGAAGCUGUGUUCCAGAGAUGGCCAAAGUUGUACUCUCCACUGGCAGCCAAAUUUGGUCAUGUGGAAGAGUCACCCAGGUGACACUGGUUUUAAGGUAUGAAGGGUCACGGAGAGCAGCUGAGUCUUGGCAUUGACAAUACAGCCUCAGUGGCAGUUGAAGGCCCAGGAUUGAAGGGGUCAUGCAGAGAAGUUGAGGCUUGUCACCUUGAAGGGAGCCCAGGAGAGACUACUGGUAAAAGUGCAGCCCCGUUGCAGCAGAAGACCCCAGCAUUUUGGAGAUGCAAGUACCAUGGGAUGACCAUCAAGAACAGCAGCAGCAGUGGAGUGGAGUCAGCCAGAUCCUAAAAGACGAGCUGUCUGUGCUGCAGAGGGGCUGAGCUGCAGAAGUAACUCAAGCCCCUUAGAGGAGCCCAGAAGCUCUGAGUGGAUCUCAGACGUUGGAAGAUGCACUGUUUACACUUUGGGAGUUUGGUUUUGCUUUGCUUUGAUUGUGAUUUCGACGUAGUUCUUCUCUCUUGAAAUAAGAAAGCAUUUCAUUUAUUUUUGAUUUUAUGGAAGUCCACAAGUUGAGAGACUGAAUUUUAAAAGACUUAAACUUUAAAAGAGAUUGAUUAUCUUAAAGAGAGAGAACUUUUAAUGUAUUUGAGUUUGUGAGGAUUGUGGAGCUCUUAAGUUGUUAAUGUUUUAUAGUGUGAUAUUAAUAUCAACCUAACAUCUUGGGGAUAAGUGAGAAAAGAAAGGUUCUGAUUAAAAAGUGAUAUGUUGGGCCUUGAGCUCAGCAAUUUAGAGCACUGGCUGCUUAUCCAGAGGUCCUGAGUUCAAAUCCCAGCACCCACAUGGUGGCUAACAGUGUCUGUAACAGUAGUCCCAUGGGAUCCAAUACACUCUUCUAGUGUAUAGGAGUACAUGCAGACAAAACCACCCAUAUACAUAAAAUAUAUAAAUAAAUAAAUC